GUUAAUCAGUGACCAAGGGGAGAUAGAGAGGUUAUCGCCAUGCAAACUGUGCCAAGGUUCUGUAAGAAUCAAGAGCACGUGGUCACCUACCUGUGGAGGAGGCUUGGGGGGGGGGGCACUGUUUCUGGUUCCUGCUGAAGCCAGCAUUCUGGAGAUGGACAGCUGAUCAAUGAAAUGAAGGUAGAUUUUGUAAAUUGUAGGUUCUAAGCAGGAAGACUCAGCCAAGAAUACAUGCUUAGAAGAAAACUGUUUCAAGCAUCGUCAUUUACCACGUGGAUGUAUCUGCACAGCCCUCCCUUUCCACAAACACCAAUACUGAAGUCCUGACGCUGGGAGUCCCUGAAUUAAGACCCCGGAGAAGAAUUGUCAAAGGGACUUACCUUUAAGGAAGCCUGUGAUCCUAUAAAAGUGAUCAUCAGUGUAAAUCAAAUCAAAAGACUUCGAUGACCUCUCCAGCACUCAGUCUCCAGCACCCAGAACAGGUGUCAUCUGCGGUUUUUCCUCUGCACCACAUCUUCCAACUAUGAUGUUGUCUAUCAUCAAAAGGCCCAGAGCAAUGAGAUCACGUCAUGGUGGACAGGUACCACCGUAACUCCCAGCAUAAAGAGAAAGCAUGACCCUAGACGUGGAGUGAAUUGAGUGUGCAGGUUCCUAC
rnacentral:lncRNA from 1 species